AAUAUUGGGCAAUGGGCGAAAGCCUGACCCAGCAACGCCGCGUGAUUGAAGAAGGUCUUCGGAUUGUAAAGAUCUGUCCUAUGGGAAGAAAAAAAUGACGGUACCAUAGGAGGAAGCCCCGGCUAACUACGUGCCAGCAGCCGCGGUAAUACGUAGGGGGCAAGCGUUGUCCGGAUUUACUGGGCGUAAAGGGUGCGUAGGCGGUAUUUUAAGUCAGAUGUGAAAUAUCCGAGCUUAACUCGGAGGGUGCAUUUGAAACUGGGAUACUUGAGUGCAGGAGAGGAAAGUGGAAUUCCUAGUGUAGCGGUGAAAUGCGUAGAUAUUAGGAGGAACACCAGUGGCGAAGGCGACUUUCUGGACUGUAACUGACGCUGAGGCACGAAAGCGUGGGGAGCAAACAGG
rnacentral:rRNA from 1 species